GCAUGGCAUGUUCACAUCCUGUUUGGGAAAUGCUGGGUAAAGCUAAGUGAAAUAUUGCUUGGACCUUUACAACAGCUCAGUGAUUUAAAACCUUAACAUGAACUAUAAACCCCCCAGAGGAAGAUUUGAUGCUUUGUUGUGACGGCACACCAGUUUCCAUCGCUCGCAGGAGUGUUUGGCUGAAUCCUGCCUAAGGAUGACGGAUGAAGACAGCGGUGGUGUGGCUACUGCAAGGCAGCCGGAGGACGUAGCUGUGCAGGUGAUAGAAACGCUGGAGCUGGAACCAGCCCGGCCGCUGCAUCAUGGGCACCAUGAUCUUGACCCCCUCGCUCACUGAGAAGGGUCUGAUCUCGUGCUCACUGCAACUCUACAAAAUAUGACACUCUACUCUUCCCUGGUAUCAGCUGGAUGGAGAAGCUCGAAGGCAGUCUACAAGUAAACCGGGGGCUACAGGGCCUGCCCGAGGAGCUUUGUCAGGGUUGGGGUGAGUCCACCCCUCCUCUUUUGGAGCUGGCUACCUGCCUUCCCUUAUCUUCUUGCUGCUGAGGCUCCCGGCCAGAAGUUGAGAGUCCAGCUCUGAGGGCCCACAUGGCCAACCUUGCAGGGCAGG